rnacentral:rRNA from 1 species
AACGAACGCUGGCGGCAUGCCUAACACAUGCAAGUCGAACGAGACCUUCGGGUCUAGUGGCGCACGGGUGCGUAACGCGUGGGAACCUGCCCUUAGGUUCGGAAUAACUCCCCGACAGGGGUGCUAAUACCGGAUAAUGUCUUCGGACCAAAGAUUUAUCGCCUUUGGAUGGGCCCGCGUUGGAUUAGCUAGUUGGUAGGGUAAAAGCCUACCAAGGCGACGAUCCAUAGCUGGUCUGAGAGGAUGAUCAGCCACACUGGGACUGAGACACGGCCCAGACUCCUACGGGAAGCAGCAGUGGGGAAUAUUGGACAAUGGGCUAAAGCCUGAUCCAGCAAUGCCGCGUAAGUGAUGAAGGCCUUAGGGUUGUAAAGCUCUUUUACCCGGGAUGAUAAUGACAGUACCGGGAGAAUAAGCUCCGGCUAACUCCGUG